rnacentral:rRNA from 1 species
UGGGAACAUACCCUUUGGUUCGGAAUAACUCAGGGAAACUUGAGCUAAUACCGGAUAAGCGCGAGAGCGGAAAGAUUUAUCGCCGAAGGAUUGGCCCGCGUCCGAUUAGCUAGUUGGUGAGGUAAUGGCUCACCAAGGCGACGAUCGGUAGCUGGUCUGAGAGGAUGAUCAGUCACACGGGAACUGAGACACGGUCCCGACUCCUACGGGGGGCAG